rnacentral:rRNA from 1 species
CCUACUCCCCUCGUGUCGCCUUGCCUCCCACGACGCGCGCGUCGACGCGGGGGAUAACUAUUAGGAAACGAUAGACUAAUACCGCAAUAACAAUGGAUGACACAUGUCUAUUUAUUUAGGAAAGGGACAAUUUGUUCCACUACAAGAUGGACCUGCGUUGUAUUAGCUAGUUGGUAGGGGUAAACGGCCUAACCGAAGGCGACGAUCAGUAGCGUGGUCUGAGAGGACCGACCACGCCACACGUGGGACUGAGACGACCGGCCCAGACCUCCGUACGGGAGGCAGCAGGUAGGGUAAGUUUUGGAACAAGUGGGACGAAACGCCUGACUCCAGACAAUCGCCGCGUGUGUAGAAGAACGUCCGUUCGGGUUAGUAAAGCUUACGUUUUGUCGUAGGAAAAGAACUUCCGUUGGCUACUAAUACAGGUCGGGGAUGACGGUACCGGAAGAAUAAGCACCGGCUAACUACAUGCCAGCAGCCGCGGUAAUACGUAGGGUGCAAGCGUUAAUCGGAA